CAUGUAUUGCUUUACUGGGUGGAGUUAGUGUAUUGUCGACAGUUGGAUCUUCUCCCAGACAGAUUUUGGUCUGGGAAUUUCAAUUUUUGGUUCACCAGAGCACAUUUUUACGAGACCACGUUGUAAAAGCUUUUCUUAUUUCAUCUGAACUGCAUCAGUGUGACUGUGGACCAUGACGACAGAGGUAGGAUCUGAAACGGAGGUGAAAAAAGAGCCGGAGAAGGCGGAGGAGCAGCCUGCAGAACCUGAACCACCAGCCACCAACCAGACAGACGAGGUCAAGGCCGUUGAGGCCGCCGAGCAGUCCAACGAAAGCCCCGCUCUGGCCACAGACUCAGCAGAGGCAAAGGAGAACCAGGAGGAGGCCCAGCCUACCGACAACGCCACAGGACCAGCGGGAGAGGACCCCUCAGUCUCACCACCAGCUUCAGAGAAGAAGGGCAUCUCCAGGUUCCUCCCUCCAUGGCUUAAGAGGCAAAAGUCUCAGAGCGCGGUGGGACCCAAAGAGAGCCAGGCGACGCCCAAGGAAGAGGGAGAUGUGGUCCUGGUGAAGGAGGAGGGUGAGAAGGCGGAGCAUGCCAAAGCAGAGCAGACAUCAUCGACCACAGCAGCUGUGCCACAGGUUGAAGAAGAGCAAGUGAACGGCGAGGCGGAGCAAGAACAGAAAGAGGAAGUGAAUUCAGAGGAACAAGAGGAGACUCAUUCCACUGGCAGUGCAGAAACUCGGCCUGCUAAGGAGGAGAAAGCAUCAGAGAAAUCUCAGAAGAAGAGUGCAGCGGAGGAGGAGAAAAAAGAGACAGAGGAAGGAGGAGAGAAGAAAGACCAGGAAGAGAGCUUGAAGCCCGAGGAAGGACGUUAUUUUAUCAAGUCGCCACUGAAACUGACCAAGAAGGUGAAGCUGGUGAUAUGUCAUGUGACCAUGCUGGAUGGAAGCCAGUUCCCCUGCGAGGUGGAGAAACGGGCCAAAGGCCAGUACUUGUUUUUCAAAGUGUGUGAAGCCCUGAACCUACUGGAGAAGGACUACUUUGGGUUGAGUUACAAAGACAACGCUGACCAGACGUGCUGGCUGGACCCUACAAAGGAGAUCAAACGUCAGAUCUGCAAUACCUCCUGGCAGUUAGCGUUCAAUGUCAAGUUCUACCCUCCUGAUCCAUCCCAGCUGACCGAGGAUAUUACCAGAUAUCUCCUGUGCCUUCAGCUCCGGCAGGACAUAGCUUCGGGGCGUCUGCCCUGCUCCUUCGUCACCCACUCUCUGCUGGGUUCCUACUCCCUGCAGGCCGAGCUGGGAGACCACGACCCCGAUGAGCAACGCCUCGACUACAUCAGCGACUUCCAGUUUGCCCCCUCACAGACUAAGGAGAUGGAGGAGAAGGUGGUGGAGCUCCACAAAACUCACAGGGGGAUGACUCCUGCUCAAGCAGAUACCCAGUUCUUAGAAAAUGCCAAGAAGUUGUCGAUGUACGGUGUCGAUCUCCACCAUGCCAAGGACUCUGAGGGAGUGGACAUCAUGUUGGGAGUGUGUGCCAAUGGCCUGCUGAUCUACAAAGACCGACUCCGGAUAAACCGCUUUGCCUGGCCAAAAAUCCUCAAGAUCUCCUACAAACGUAGCAACUUCUAUAUCAAAAUCAGGCCGGGAGAGACGGAGCAGUUUGAGAGCACCGUGGGCUUCAAGCUGCCCAACCACCGCUCUGCCAAGAGGGUCUGGAAGGUCUGCGUGGAGAAUCACACCUUCUUCAGGUUGAUGACUCCAGAAGCGCCCGCUAAAGCCAAGUUCCUCACACUGGGCUCCAAGUUCCGCUACAGUGGGCGGACCCAGGCCCAAACACGACAGGCCAGCACCCUCAUCGACAGGCCGGCACCCUACUUUGAGCGCACCUCCAGCAAGCGCAUCUCACGAAGCCUGGAUGGAGCUCCAGUGAUCAACGUGAUCGAGGCCCAGGACUCGGCCCCCACCCCUGUGGGGAACGGCAGGGAGCCUGGCUUGGAACUCUCCUCUGACUCCUCCAAGGUAGAGGAGGAGCCUAGCGAAGGGGCGGCGGCCACACCUACUGAAGGCACUGAGAUGAAAAGAGAUGAGCCAGACUCCUCCCAGCAGAGCGGAAAGUUGAGAGUGCAGGGGGAAAAUAUAUAUGUCAGACAUAGCAAUUUAAUGUUGGAGGACCUGGAUAAGACUCAGGAGGAUGUUUUGAAACAUCAGGCUAGCACUAGCGAGUUAAAGCGCAGUUUUAUGGAGGCCACCCCUGAGACGCGUCCCAGUCAAUGGGAAAAGCGCCUCACUGCCAGCCCGGCUACCAGCCUGCGUCUGCAGGCCCAAGGGAGCUUAGAGGAAAUUACCUCCAUUUUAUUCAGUAAAUUUGCCUGCGAGUCUGGUCUGGUAGACCCUGGCUGUAGCACCAUUAAGAGAGCAGCAGAGGGCGCUGGCGCUGUAUUCUCUGGCCCAAUGGCCUCAGCUUCACUCACUGCCCAGAGGAGCCCCCCACCCACAACCCAGGAGCCUCUCCCUGACCUCACAGUGGACACGGUCUCUAAGAGUUCAGAUGACAAAGAGAAAUCAGACAAGACAACGUUGCAGGCAGCAGAGGUUGAGAUAGAAGAGACAGUAGUCGUCGAGGAGAUCAGGGUGGCACCCAAAGUCUCCGUCACCAUCACCCCCGAGGUGGUGGUCACCCCUGUCGCCGUGGAGACAGAGGUCGAGAAGCCCAAAGAGGAAGUGAUGGAGGAAGUGAUGGAGGAAGUGAUGGAGGAAGUGAUGGAGGAAGUGAAGGAGGAAGUGAAGGAAGAAGUUAAUGAGGAGCAGAAGAGGCCUGUGAGCGUGUCCUCGGACAGCCACAGUGAGAGCGAGGAGGAGGCAGGGGAGUACCACUCCCAGGUCACUAUCAGCGCCUCAGUGGACCAGAUCAAAGAAGAGCCUGAGGAAGAGGAGGAGGAGGAGGAAGUGGAAGACCAUGAAGAACCAGAGCAAGUCGCAGAGCCCGAACCACUCCCAGAGGUUAAGGUAGAGGCCAUGCCUUCCCCUGCAGUAGUGGAAGAAACCCCUAUGGCAGAGCCAGAGACGGCCCUUGUGGCCGAUGCCCUCGCCAAGGAGGAGAGCACCGAGGACAUCCUGGUUACCCCCGACGAGGCCCCUAACGGGCAUGCUGAGGACCAGUCUGGCCUGGUGGCUGUGGAAGAAGAAGAAGAAGAAGAAGAGGAGGAGCCCAGAGUCAACGGGGACGCGUCUCACGCUGAGACGGAGCGCAUUCCUCAGGUUAUUUGUUGCUCUGAGCCACCUGUGGUGAAGACCGAGAUGGUGACCAUCUCAGACACGUUUGCAGCCCAGAAGACUGAGAUUGCCACUAAGGAGGUUCCCAUCGUGCACACAGAGACAAAGACCAUCACUUACGAGGCUGCACAGCUGGACGGCAGUGGAGACGGUGAACCAGGCAUUCUCAUGACUGCCCAAACCAUUACCUCUGAGUCGCUGUGCACCACCACCACCACACACAUCACCAAGACAUUAAAAGGCGGUCUCUCAGAAACCAGGAUCGAGAAGCGCAUUGUCAUCACCGGAGACUCAGACAUCGACCACGAUCAGGCCUUGGCCCAGGCUAUAAAGGAAGCCAAAGAGCAGCACCCUGACAUGUCAGUGACCCGGGUGGUGGUCCACAAAGAGACAGAGCUGGCCGAGGAGGGCGAGGACUGAGGCGCCAGUCUCCCUCCUCUCUACCUACCUGGCAUGACGUGAGAGAUACCUCUCUCAUCAAAAGACUUUGAAGCAGGCGAUGGAGUACUAGCUGGUUUGGGUUUGCCCCAAGGAGAUGGUGGCUUUAAAUCCCAGUAGAGCCUAAAGAGCCUGUGAAGUUCAUACAUGGAUGUUUGAGAAACUCCUGUCAUCUCCCAAACCGAGAGUCAACCUGGUGAGAAGACAAGGUGAAGACAACCCAGAGGCUGAACUCCUAUGUGUCUGUGCGUUUCAUCGCACGCCUUCCUUUUUUUAUCACUCAGAAGAGAACCACUUAGCUAACAUUUGUAGUGCGUUUUUAUUCUUAUGUGCUUUUUGCUAAAAGAAGAAAAAAUGGCUAUCAUUAUUAAAACCAGAUAGGAUUUAUCAAGUGGUAAUUUUUAUUGUUGAGUAGUAUUCACAUUCCUAGUAUGUACAGACAGCUGGUGUUAUGAGAAAGUACAUUUCAAUAUAUAGCUUCCUGGAUUCAUGCAUCUUUAUGUGGACAGGAAGUAAGACUAGGUGGAUAUAUUAGCUUUGGACCUAGUCUUGUUCCAUGUUGUCUUAGAGCCAGAUGUUUAUCAGUUUUUUUUUGGGGGGGGGGGGGGGGAGAAGAGCAAAUUAAUUUAAUUGGGUGAGUUUCCAAGGGACCAGCAAAGGGUGAAGCACUGUGUCAUUUUGUACAUUGCAAUAUAGUGCCAACACAUGUUCUUCUCUAUGCAGUCAAAACUGAAGCAUUCCAUUAAAGUGCAGGUGCUUUUCCAAUACCUCCCUCAGAAGAAAAAAAAAAAUGUAAAAAAUAAAAAGCUUGGAAACUUUUUGUUUUCUGUGACUUUCUGGCAUCAUUAAUCAUAGACAUAUUUGUAGAAUUCUUUUUUGUCUUUUAAACUUUUUUUGUAUUUAUCUGUAAACUGAUUUACUGUAGAUGUUGAUGAGGUGUGUUUGCCCCUUUUUAAAUAUUUUUAAUAUAUUUCAGAGGUUUUUUGACAGCUAAAAGAAACACAAUUGCCACCAUUUUAAUAUUUUACCUGUAGAUAAGAGAUGGCUGCCUAGUGUUCUCUGCAGUCUGACCAACCCCACCAAACCCAAUGACGGCAUCAAUUAGCUCUUUGUUUAUAGCAGAUCAUCUUAGAUAUUCAGCAGCUUGAAAAUUGUUUUCCCCCUCCACCACAGACACCUAACCCUCUGUGUUACACUGAAAUAAACAUUUGUUAUUCUCUAA